AUGGCAAGAGUCCUUGGGCUGGCCGGGGACCAAGAGGCAUCCAGUGGGGCUUCCAGAAAUGCCCACUUCCGGAUCCUGGUGUCGCCCCAUCCUCUGCCUUGGAGACCUUGGAGGAUGGGGAGCUCAGCACCUGGAGGCUCACAAGGUGCUGGGAAGUUUAAACUUCUCAGUUGGCUCCAGCUCCACUUCCCCAGGGUGCAGAGAAAUAAGGCUGAUCCCCUCCUCCACAGGCCAGGGCCUUCCAGGCUGGAGGCUAGCACCAAGGGCAGGUUAGCUGGCAGGUCCCACGGAGAUUUUCUCCACGCUAAGCCUGCUCAGUUCCUAGAGAGAUUCCUCCCCCUCCCCCCCGCCAUGACAGUGGCCGAACGUUGGGCGCCAUCCGAGCUCGAUGCGAAUAGCUUCGAGGGAGGGUCACACAGGCCUAGGACUGGGCCUGGGAGAUGUUUACGACCACAGCAAGCUGGCAUCGCGGCUUCCGAGCUGGAAGGGGCCUUUAAGGCCAUGGAAUCACAGGCCGUGGCUGUAUCAAUGAAGAACCAGGUCCCAGACGAGUGGGCCCGGCCCGGGAGCUGGGGGGAGGGGGACGGGGAGCGCGUAAGUCCGGACCGAACCGUCGGGGCAGGGCCACUGGGGGGUGCUGGGCGAAAGCUUCCGGCCGUGCCCAGGCCGCAGCCCCUUCCCUCUCGGCCCCUCCCCCGCCCGGGGUCGGGGUGGGCCGGGCCGAGCCGGGCUGGGCUGGGCCGGGCUGGCCGAGCGGCGCUGAUCCGAGCUGAUCCGAGUCGAGGCCCGCCCUCUGCGCCCUCCGCGCCCUCCCUGCCCGGGCCGGGCCGGUCCAAUCAGCGGCGCCCCCGCCCCUCGGGCCCGGCCUCGGCGCCCUCCCCUUGGGGUGACAGAAAGUCGGCGGCAGCUCGGAGAGCAGGAGGUGGCUGCGGCGGCGGCGGCGGCGGCGGAGGCGGCGGAGGAGGAGGAGGAGGAGGAGGAGGAGGCGGCGGCCAAGGAGGAGGAAGAAGAGGAGAAGAAGGAGGAAAAGGAGGAGGAAGUGGCAGCCGGGCUGGCCCUGGGACGGACAGACAGACCUAG
rnacentral:lncRNA from 1 species